rnacentral:rRNA from 1 species
UACGAAGGGGGCUAGCGUUGUUCGGAAUCACUGGGCGUAAAGGGCGCGUAGGCGGCUGUUCAAGUCGGGGGUGAAAGCCUGUGGCUCAACCACAGAAUUGCCUUCGAUACUGGACGGCUCGAGACCGGAAGAGGUCAGUGGAACUGCGAGUGUAGAGGUGAAAUUCGUAGAUAUUCGCAAGAACACCAGUGGCGAAGGCGGCUCACUGGCCCGGUACUGACGCUGAGGUGCGAAAGCGUGGGGAUCAAACAGG